CAGCAGCCGCGGUAAUACAGAGGGUGCAAGCGUUAAUCGGAAUUACUGGGCGUAAAGCGCGCGUAGGUGGUUUGUUAAGUUGGAUGUGAAAUCCCCGGGCUCAACCUGGGAACUGCAUCCAAAACUGGCAAGCUAGAGUAUGGUAGAGGGUGGUGGAAUUUCCUGUGUAGCGGUGAAAUGCGUAGAUAUAGGAAGGAACACCAGUGGCGAAGGCGACCACCUGGACUGAUACUGACACUGAGGUGCGAAAGCGUGGGGAGCAAACAGGAUUAGAUACCCGAGUAGUCCCUGUCUCUUAUAC
rnacentral:rRNA from 1 species